rnacentral:rRNA from 1 species
AUUGAACGCUGGCGGCAGGCCUAACACAUGCAAGUCGACCGAGUGGCGGACCGGUGAGUAAUGUCUGGGAACCUGCCUGAUGGAGGGGGAUAACUACUGGAAACGGUAGCUAAUACCGCAUACCAUCAGAUGUGCCCAGAUGGGAUUAGCUAGUAGGUGGGGUAAUGUCUCACCUAGGCGACGAUCCCUAGCUGGUCUGCUAGGAUUACCAGCAACACGGGAACUGAGACACGGUCCAGACUCCUACGGUAGGCAGCAGGGGGGAAUAUUGCACAAUGGGCGCAAGCCUGAUGCAGCCAUGCCGCGUGUAUGAAGAAGGCCUUCGGGUUGUAAAGUACUUUCAGCGGGGAGGCGUUACUCGCAGAAGAAGCACCGGCUAACUCCGUGCCAGCAGCCGCGGUAAUUC